rnacentral:rRNA from 1 species
AUGCUCGCCGCCGUCGCUCGCAACAAAAAGGCCGUUGACCGUAGCAGCUUUUUCUCUUGCCUCUGUGUUGCAUCCAUGGUAGCUUCGCGGCGCCGACCGCGACACCGUCCCUCGCCGGUGCUGCCCACCGCCGUUGCAGCAUCAAUGGCGACGGCGGUGUCGCUUCCAGACAAAGCUGAUGGUAGCAAAGAACGGAUUGUUGGUUCUAGCAAAAGUCGAUGGCGGUUGAAGCAAAAUUGGGGCUGGUUCCAAGAAAAACAAAAGAUAGUGGUAGCAAAAAAUAUUGCUGGUUCCAGCAAAAAUCGAAGGCGAUGA